AUAACGCGAGGAAUAAGAAGUCCAUAUUUUCCUAGCUAAAGCUUACACCGAGCUUGAAGAAGGUGCUGUUUGCCACAGCGCUGGGCAGUGUAGCUCUAGCUCUCACUGCUCAUCAGUUAAAAAGGCGAGGAAGGAAGAGGAAGCAGGAAACAGAAUGCUGUUCUUUUGGGACCACCCGCUUCGAAUGUUAUUAGUCCAUUAAAUGAAUGUUGACUGAUAACAUUCGGAGCCGGUGUUUGGGACAGGCCCGUUUACUGGCCGACAGGUGAUGAGUCCCAGUACUCGAAGCAAUGACACCAUGAGUGGAAUUUCUUCCCUGGCUCCAAGUAAACAUUCAAGUUCAUCACACAGCCUGGCGUCCAUGCGAGUCCCAAGCUCUCCAAAUCAGUCUGCCAAUCCAUCCACCCCCUGGGAUGCAGAGCCUGUGGUGGAAGAGUCAGGGGCAGUAGAGGACGCUAAUGCAGAGAAUCUCUACUUAAUGGGGUGAAGCUCGUAAUAAAGUGUUUGCUGAGAAGUUAGAGACAUUACUGCACAGAGCGUAUCACCUACAGGAGGAUUUUGGGAGCAGUAUCCCAGCAGACAACGUGCUGGCAGACUUUGGUAAUAUUUCCAUGUUACCUAUCAAGAGAAGUGAGGAGGACAUAGCAAGAGAAGUGAGGAGGUUAAGAAAACAAAGGAAAAUGAUUGGAACAUGGACAAGGAAUGGGAACGUGUGGAUCCGAGACCAUCAAUGAAGAUAAUAAAAAGAAAUGACAGAAGGAAGACCCGGGAGGAUGAAACCUGCACCUGAGAGGGGCCGGCGGUUUAAGGACGACGGUUCACGGAAGGAACCAGAAAGUGAAGGAACUCUAAUCUUGCCUCAAGUGGAGAGUUUCCACAGACUGCAGGAGGACGAUGCCACUACUGUCACUUCUGAUGAGUCCUUCUUCUCGGCUGCAGAGCUGUUAGAUGCCAUGUCUCUAGGGGAGGUCUAUCAGCCUCUUAAGCCAGCAGCCCUAUAUGAAGAAGCCUUGUCUCUGGUCCAUGACGAUAAAGUGGCCUAUAGG